rnacentral:tRNA from 1 species
GGCUCGUUGGUCUAGGGGUAUGAUUCUCGCUUUGGGUGUGAGAGGUCCUGGUUCAAAUCCCGGACGAGCCC